rnacentral:rRNA from 1 species
AGGACGAACGCUGGCGGCGUGCCUAACACAUGCAAGUCGAACGCGCUCCAUUCGGUAGCAAUACUGAUGAAGAGUGAGUGGCGAACGGGUGAGUAACACAUGAGCAACCUGCCCCGAAGACUGGGACAACACCGGGAAACCGGUGCUAAUACCGGAUAUCCCUAUCGGACCGCAUGAUCUGAUAAGGAAAUGGAUUCCGCUUCGGGAGGGGCUCGUGGCCUAUCAGCUAGUUGGUGAGGUAACGGCUCACCAAGGCAUCGACGGGUAGCUGGUCUGAGAGGACGAUCAGCCACACUGGGACUGAGACACGGCCCAGACUCCUACGGGAGGCAGCAGUGGGGAAUCUUGCGCAAUGGGCGAAAGCCUGACGCAGCAACGCCGCGUGGAGGACGAAGGCUUUCUGAGUUGUAAACUCCUUUCAGCAGGGACGAUAGUGACGGUACCUGCAGAAGAGCACCGGCAACUACGCGCCAGCAG